AGAUUUUGAUCAUGGCUCAGAACUAACGCUGGCGGCGUGCCUAAUACAUGCAAGUCGAGCGGAGCUGAUGAGGUGCUUGCACCUCUGAUGCUUAGCGGCGGACGGGUGAGUAACACGUAGGCAACCUGCCCUCAAGACCGGGAUAACAUUCGGAAACGAAUGCUAAGACCGGAUACGCAAGUCUGUCGCAUGACGGACUU
rnacentral:rRNA from 1 species